UGAUGAUAAAGGCAAACCAUCGGAAACGAUGGGACGCAAAGUUAAAGGGUCCUCUGGUAGUAAGGAUAGCCUGGCCGCCAAU
rnacentral:ncRNA from 1 species